rnacentral:rRNA from 1 species
CCUACGGGUGGCUGCAGUGAGGAAUAUUGGUCAAUGGGCGGGAGCCUGAACCAGCCAAGUCGCGUGAGGGAUGACGGCCCUAUGGGUUGUAAACCUCUUUUGCCGGGGAGCAAAGUGCCGCACGUGUGCGGUUUGGCGAGUACCCGGAGAAAAAGCAUCGGCUAACUCCGUGCCAGCAGCCGCGGUAAUACGUAGGGGGCAAGCGUUAUCCGGAUUUACUGGGUGUAAAGGGAGCGUAGACGGCAAGGCAAGCCAGAAGUGAAAGGGCAGGGCUCAACCCUGUACAUGCUUUUGGAACUGGGGUGCUAGAGUGCAGGAGAGGUAAGUGGAAUUCGUAGUGUAGCGGUGAAAUGCGUAGAUAUUAGGAGGAACACCAGUGGCGAAGGCGGCUUACUGGACUGUAACUGACGUUGAGGCUCGAAAGCGUGGGGAGCAAACAGGAUUAGAUACCCUAGUAGUC